rnacentral:rRNA from 1 species
UACGUAGGGUGCGAGCGUUGUCCGGAAUUACUGGGCGUAAAGGGCUCGUAGGUGGUUUGUCGCGUUGUUCGUGAAAACUCACAACUCAAUUGUGGGCGUGCGGGCGAUACGGGCAGACUGGAGUACUGCAGGGGAGACUGGAAUUCCUGGUGUAGCGGUGGAAUGCGCAGAUAUCAGGAGGAACACCGGUGGCGAAGGCGGGUCUCUGGGCAGUAACUGACGCUGAGGAGCGAAAGCGUGGGGAGCGAACAGG